rnacentral:rRNA from 1 species
AACCUGGCCUGUAAGACUGGGGAUAACUCCGGGGAAACCGGAGCUAAUACCGGAUAGUUCCUUGAACCGCAUGGUUCAAGGAUGAAAGACGGUUUCGGCUGUCACUUACAGAUGGACCCGCGGCGCAUUAGCUAGUUGGUGGGGUAAUGGCUCACCAAGGCGACGAUGCGUAGCCGACCUGAGAGGUGAUCGGCCACACUGGGACUGAGACACGGCCAACUCCUACG